rnacentral:tRNA from 1 species
AUUAAAGUAGUUUAAGUAAAACAAAACAUUUUCGUUGUUUAGAUGGGAAUAGUCCUUUUUAAUU